UGCCGCGGUGAAUACGUUCCCGGGCCUUGUACACACCGCCCGUCACACCAUGGGAGUUGGUUUUACCCGAAGGCGCUGUGCUAACCGCAAGGAGGCAGGCGACCACGGUAGGGUCAGCGACUGGGGUGAAGUCGUAACAAGGUAGCCGUAGGGGAACCUGCGGCUGGAUCACCUCCUUUCUAAGGAAGC
rnacentral:rRNA from 1 species